rnacentral:rRNA from 1 species
AUUGAACGCUGGCGGCAUGCUUUACACAUGCAAGUCGAACGGCAGCGCGGGGCAACCUGGCGGCGAGUGGCGAACGGGUGAGUAAUAUAUCGGAACGUACCCAGAAGUGGGGGAUAACGUAGCGAAAGUUACGCUAAUACCGCAUACGAUCUACGGAUGAAAGUGGGGGACCUUCGGGCCUCAUGCUUUUGGAGCGGCCGAUAUCUGAUUAGCUAGUUGGUGAGGUAAAGGCUCACCAAGGCGACGAUCAGUAGCUGGUCUGAGAGGACGACCAGCCACACUGGGACUGAGACACGGCCCAGACUCCUACGGGAGGCAGCAGUGGGGGAAUUUUGGACAAUGGGGGCAACCCUGAUCCAGCAAUGCCGCGUGAGUGAAGAAGGCCUCGGUUGUAAGACUCUUUGUUCAGGGAAGAAACGGUAGAGGGCGUAAUAUCCCUUGCUAAUGACGGUACCGUGAAGAAUAAGCACGGCUAACUACGUGCCAGCAGCCGCGGUAAU